rnacentral:lncRNA from 1 species
UUUCAAGCGUGAGCCACUGUGCCUGGCCUAUUUCUCACUUUCAUAUAUGAUCUCUUCCUUUAUUUUCAUGGGUGCAGUUCACAGUCUACAGUUUUUAUUCUUAGUUACCUAACUAUAGCCAAGUCCUUGGUCAUUCUCUCUAGAAAAUUCUCAGAGACUGUGGAAGCUUGUGGUUUGAAACAUUUCUUCAGUGAUUUUGGAUGCAAACUUUAUUCUGUGUUCAGAGCGGCCAGAAAUGGAACUGUUACCACUUCCUGUCUCUGUAGUGUCUUCCACGCCAUCACCAUCAGCACUAGAAACUCCAGGUGCACAAGGUUAAAGUCAAAGUCCUAAAGCACUUCAGUGGCUUCCGUGUUGUA